GAGAUGGUUGACGUCGAAGAUGAGGGAAUUUGAUCUGAAGUAGAACACAAUAAACAAUCCGAGUAACGUGAAAUACAUUUAUUAAAAAUGUUGAAGCAAAGAUGCAGUUCAUAUACAGAAAAUAGUACACACAGAAUAUCAACAAUAUUAACAACCCAUCUCAAAACCAGGUUUAGAGAGGACAGAAACUAAACAUCGGACGACUUUUUAGUGCCCCUGAUUGAUGGGUGGACCAAGAUGCAUGAUGGGAGCUGACUCUGGUAGACAGGAUAUGAACAGGGGGAACGCCCAUAUAAGGAGAGGCCUAAGGGGGUCAGUGCACACUGAGGUUGAUCUGCGGGCUCAUGGUCAGCAGCCAAUCGAUGGUCUCCUCCAGGAAGACCAUGUUGUAGUGAGCGGCGAUGCUGCGGAACACCUUGAUCUGCUCCGAGAAGCUCUGAGGAGGAACAGGAACAGACGGGGGAGGAAGACCAUCAACACAGGGGGAUGAAGACCAUCAACACACCAGGAGGGGGUGAAGACCAUCAACACAGGGGGAUGAAGACCAUCAACACACCAGGAGGGGGUGAAGACCAUCAACACACCAGGAGGGGGUGAAGACCAUCAACACACCAGGAGGGGGUGAAGACCAUCAACACACCAGGAGGGGAUGAAGACCAUCAACACACCAGGAGGGGAUGAAGACCAUCAACACAGGAGGAUGAAGACCAUCAACACACCAGGAGGGGGUGAAGACCAUCAACACACCAGGAGGGGGUGAAGACCAUCAACACAGGAGGAUGAAGACCAUCAACACACCAGGAGGGGAUGAAGACCAUCAACACACCAGGAGGGGAUAAAGACCAUCAACACACCAGGAGGGGGUGAAGACCAUCAACACACCAGGAGGGGAUGAAGACCAUCAACACACCAGCAGGUGAUGAAGACCAUCAACACACCAGGAGGGGAUGAAGACCAUCAACACACCAGCAGGUGAUGAAGACCAUCAACACAGGGUGAUGAAGACCAUCAACACACCAGGAGGGGAUGAAGACCAUCAACACACCAGCAGGUGAUGAAGACCAUCAACACACCAGCCGGUGAUGAAGACCAUCAACACACCAGCAGGGGAUGAAGACCAUCAACACACCAGGAGGGGAUGAAGACCAUCAACACAUGGUGAUGAACACCAUCAACACACCAGCAAGUGAUGAAGACCAUCAACACACCAGGAAGAGCUGAUGAGGGGGGAGGGAUGAUGAGGGGUGAUUGGUGGUGAGUGAAAGUGGUGGGUGAUGACUCCUCACCUUGGUUGUGAAGGUGAGGUCGAAGCUCCCAGCGCAGCGGCAGUAGAUCGGCAUGUUGGCCUCCUUCACACCCUUACACUUCACACAGGCCUGCACACACACACACACACACACACACACACACACACACACACACACACACACACACACACACACACACACACACACACACACACACACACACACAAACAC
ensembl:lncRNA